UUAAUUUUAAACUUCGUAAAUUUAUAAUUUGAAAUGUACAUUUAAACACCGUUAACGAAUGAUAAUAAUAAUCAUCGCGUAAAGAAAAAGAAUAAAAAUCUAAAUCAAUUUAGCUUUGUCAAUGAACAGUUAAAAUCAUCUAUACGAAAAGAAGAAGGAAGACAAAUAAGAAAGGCCGUUAACCUAAAUAUCUCGAUCAGAUCUGACUAAGCAUUGGCGCACAUCCUCUCACGCGCAUCAUUAUCGCGAUCACCCGGUUCUCAUUCUCUCUCUUUAUCUCCCGUUACGAUUUCCUCUACUUUCAAAUAACUAAUUAAAUGAAUUUAAAACUCUCCUUUCACAUGAUUGCGCGAAAUUCUUCGAAAUUUUUAUUUCAUUGCUCAACAUUAGAACUGAAGAGUGAAAAAAUGAUAAUGUGAUUCAGUUAGAUUGAUUUUUUUAUGAAACUAGAAGUAGUAUGCAACGAUUUGUUAAUUAGUUAAUGAAUGAAAGGAAAUUCGAAAACGAAAGAUGAAAAGUGAGAACCGAUGAUGUUCGUCCUUGUUCGUUAGUGAAUUGAAUAAAAAUGGAAAGUGUAUUGUUACAAUUUAUGUUGGAGAAUCGAUUUAAUUGUGUGCUAAUUUCAACCGCGUGAAGGUUAGGGUUGACCCAAGGUUCAGACACCUGCCAACCAGUUAAUAGAACUUGAUGUUGGAAAAUUCCAAACACUAUUAAAUCACCACUUCGCUCACUGAUUCGAUGCGAUGUAAUAGAUUUUAUGGAUGAGGAAGCAUGCGUUGUUUCGUUUUGCACAUUCAUAUCUGGUGAAAUACGAUUUACUUAUUUAUUUCCUAUAUUAGAUACUAUGUUAAUAGGUGGCAAAAACUAUUCAACGAGAUAAAUAUCGAAGUUUCCGCUCUGAUUCUAUUCCAUUCCACUUCUAACAUUUCUAACCAAUGAAAUAUUUCGUUUCAGUUCACUAAAAUUUAUGUAUGUAUAGCAUCUUUUUUCCACCUGGUUAAACUCUAGUCGUUCCUCUUUGAGUAGUUUAAAUAUCGUUCUGUUCAGAUCCGUGUCGUCUCUUUUCAAUCGAGAUUUUACCGUUGGAAUUCGUACAA